rnacentral:rRNA from 1 species
UACGUAGGGGGCAAGCGUUGUCCGGAUUUAUUGGGCGUAAAGAGUGUGUAGGCGGCCACACAGGUCAGCUGUGAAAACUCGAGGCUCAACCUCGAGACGUCGGUUGAAACCGUAUGGCUAGAGUCCGGAAGAGGAGAGUGGAAUUCCCGGUGUAGCGGUGAAAUGCGCAGAUAUCGGGAAGAACACCCGUGGCGAAGGCGGCUCUCUGGGACGGUACUGACGCUGAGACGCGAAAGCGUGGGGAGCGAACAGG